rnacentral:lncRNA from 1 species
GCGGAAGGCAAAUCCACCCGGCAGGAACGGCUGCCUCUGCAGAUCCAUGCGGCGAUAGAACAGGGCGGAGGGGGUUGGAUUUGCUGAGCCAUCCGGGAUUGAACAACGAACUCGCCACAGCCGUGCUGGUCAGGGAAACGGCGGGGAUCGUGGGCACGGUCCCUCUGGUUUUCAGACCUGGAGAAAAGAUCCGAAGCAAUUUUAAAUUAAGACUAUAUUCCCAGACCUGUCAACACUAUAGUAUGAAUCACGGAACUGAGUACUUUCAUUAUUACUCACCAAACUUGCAAGUGUGUCUGCUGACAUCUCCGUGCUCAAUCUGCUGGACUAUUGAUGUGAGCACUGCUGUGCUCCAGAGGAGUUCUUAGCAUGUCCCAGUGAUGUUCAAAAUGUAACCCGAUUGCAAGGGUUCAUGAGGAAACCAAGGAUUGCCCGGCCAGGCUCAAGUCUUCCUCAUCCUUCUUCCUUCUGCCAUCUUUUGAGAAUGGUCACCGUAAGUGGCAUGAUUUGGUAACCGGAGGUCCUGAGCACAAAGGUUCUCAAACCUGAACAGAUAUCGGAACCACCCACCUGGAGGGCUGGGCACACUGAUUGUUUCCCGAGUUUCUAACUGAGAAACUACUUCAAGAUAAGCUCCACCAAAAAUAGAGAGGAAAUCAAGAAGAUUAAGACGCAGGAUCCAGCGCAACGCUCCAGCACAGGAGAGACCAAAAGAACGUUUGACAAUCCACUGACUUCCUAGAAAACAGAAGAGUGGGCUGGGCAUGGUGGCUCACGCCUGUAAUCCCAGCACUCUGGGAGGCUGAGGUGGGUGGAUUACCUGAGAUCAGGAAUUCGGGACCAGCCUGGAGAAACCCCGUCUCUAAAAAUACAAAAAUUAGCCGAACGUGAUGGCGCACGCCUUGUAGUCCCAGCUACUCAAGAGACUGAGGCAGGAGAAUGGCGUGAACCCGGGAAGCAGAGGUUGUAGUCAGCCAAGAUCGCGCCACUGCACUCCAGCGUGGGAGACAGAGCGAGAGUCCGUCUCAAAAAAAAGAAAAAAAAAAAAAAAGAAACAAAGUUUAGCUUUCCCAUGCCCCCACCCCCCGCACCGUUGCCCGCCGCCCCCCCCCCCCCCCCCCGCCCCAUUCAUUCUUUCAAGCUGGGCCCAGGGCAACAUUAAAAAACAAACCUGUAAUCAGUAUUUAUAUGAUAUGGCAUUUUGUGUAUUCAUCUCAGCUGAGUCAGUUGUAUAUCAUGGUUAAUUACCAUUAUUUUACAACUUUGGAAAGCCCCUCAUCUUCCCGCUCCCGGAUGGACCACGAGUUCUCCAGGCCCCUGUAUGGCUAUGGACCAAGACUUCUUUCAUGAUGACCUUGGGAACUGCUUUCGUCUCUCCUACUUUGGGUUCCCUAUUUCCCCGAGUCAAUGCCAUCUUUUUCUGGGUUUACUCCUUCAGUUGUAGCGAGUUAAAGACUGAAUGGAGAUGAGGGAGGUGGAAAGUAAGUACAGCCUCUUCUUCCGAGACAUCUGCUUAGGAAGAGAGGGAAGGAGCCUCAUGAGGAUGUAUUUAGAAGUAUGGAGGCAGAGACCAGCAGCAGGCCAGCUAAAAAGUUAAAAGUAGUUCCCGCGGGGGAGGUGUGCAGCUGGGGACUGUUGUUUCUCAAUUAUGGGGCUGUGGUGCCAAUAAACCUCGCAUGAGUAGCAACUCAGCAGGCCCAGGAUACGUGUUGGAAGGGGAAUGAGGGAAGGGGCAAUUCUCCAGGCAGCAGGGAGAGCGUGAGCAGAAGUCACUGCCAACACUCCCACCACAGGA